GACCCCAGGUCAGGCGGGAYUACCCGCUGAGUUUAA
rnacentral:rRNA from 1 species